GAAAGGACAAACGUGUCUGUUUUGAAUUCGGCCUCCUUUGUUUCACCAACCUCACGGGUCAACAACCUCUCGAGUAAUUUAAAAGCAUUUUGGAAUGGCGUAACAUGUGAUACAUGAUAUUAUCCGAGGAGCCACGCAGCGCUACUAGACAAAUUUUAUGCCUCGUAAACAAUUCACGCAACUUUAGAAAAUAACUGAGAGAUCCAGAAAGGUCAGUCGCGCUCCAAUUUAACUUUUAAUAAAAAAUGGAGAAUGAUGGAUCUUCCCAUUUUUUAUGUGAAAGAGUAGUUAGUAGCUAGCAUCUGCAAAUUUUGUUGAUACCAAAAAAAAAAAAAUACAGUACUUGUUUUUUCCCGGUCUAAUAAGAGUUGAGAAACGUAGUAAUUUGAAUCUGUGUAUUAGAAGCCAGGUUCUCUUCUGUUUUUUGGGGGUUCGAAUAAAUAAAUAUUUUUUAAAAAAUCAAAUGACCGUAAAUUCAAACUCGAGACAUUUGAUCUCAAGUAUCAAUCAGUCCAUUAUUAGGCUAAAGACAAGCUCUAUUAUGCCAUUGAUGUGGGACACCGGACACCCCAAAUAUUCCAAAGUUGCUACUUCCUUCCAGGAAACUAUUAUCAACUAUGAAUAUAGAAAGAAACGUGUUUUUUU